rnacentral:rRNA from 1 species
UACGUAGGGAGCGAGCGUUGUCCGGAUUCAUUGGGCGUAAAGAGCUCGUAGGCGGCUUGGCAAGUCGGGUGUGAAAACUCCAGGCUCAACCUGGAGACGCCACCCGAUACUGCCAUGGCUAGAGUCCGGUAGGGGACCACGGAAUUCCUGGUGUAGCGGUGAAAUGCGCAGAUAUCAGGAGGAACACCGGUGGCGAAGGCGGUGGUCUGGGCCGGAACUGACGCUGAGGAGCGAAAGCGUGGGGAGCAAACAGG